UUUUGAAGGGGUUACUACAGGGCUCACUUUGAUCAGCUAUUCAAGAAACUGGUAGUCUGGACAUGAGUUUUGAAGGCACAGUGAAAGUAGUUAAACCUUAGAGGCAUAUUGAAAAUGAGAAUAUAGCUGCUAAAGUAUCAAGUUCAUUUGCUGGUACAAGAGAGAAGUGCUUGGGAUGCAAGAAGACAGUUUAUCCAAUUGAAAGGGUUACUGUAAAUGGGACUUGUUAUCACAAGAGUUGCUUCAAGUGUAGCCAUGGAGGUUGUGUAACACAGGUUGUGGAAGUUGAGGUGAAUGGUAUAAAGCAAAAGAGUGGAGUGCAUAUAAAAAAAUGCAGGCAUGGAUUUGUUCUUACGGAAUUGGAUGU